AGAGUUUGAUCAUGGCUCAGGAUGAACGCUGGCGGCGUGCCUAACACAUGCAAGUCGAACGGACUUACAUUGAAGCCUAGCGAUAUGUAAGUUAGUGGCGGACGGGUGAGUAACGCGUGGGUAACCUGCCUUGUACUGGGGGACAACAGUUGGAACGACUGCUAAUACCGCAUAAGCGCACAGCUUCGCAUGAAGCAGUGUGAAAAACUCCGGUGGUACAAGAUGGACCCGCGUCUGAUUAGCUGGUUGGUGAGGUAACGGCCACCAAGGCGACGAUCAGUAGCCGGCCUGAGACGGGUGAACGGCCACAUUGGGACUGGAGACACGGCCCAAACUCCUACGGGAGCA
rnacentral:rRNA from 1 species